AGGGCGGCCAUAGUUUAAUUCCUACGCAGCAGGCCGCGGCCAAGCGUGAGCAGACGAUAGGCCGUGGCCAAGCAUGGC
rnacentral:lncRNA from 1 species